rnacentral:rRNA from 1 species
AGGAUGAACGCUGGCGGCGUGCCUAAUACAUGCAAGUCGAACGAGGUCUUCGGACCGAGUGGCGAACGGGUGAGUAACACGUUGAUACCUACCCCGAAGUGGGGAAUAACUGCCCGAAAGGGUGGCUAAUACCGCAUAAUACCGCAAGGUUAAAGCAGUAAUGCGCUUCGGGAGGGGCCUGCGUCCCAUUAGCUAGUUGGUAGGGUAAUGGCCUACCAAGGCGACGAUGGGUAGCUGGAUCGAGAGGUUGACCAGCCACACUGGGACUGAGAUACGGCCCCAGACUCCUACGGGAGGCAGCAGUAAGGAAUCUUCCACAAUGGACGAAAGUCUGAUGGAGCAACGCCGCGUGCAGGAUGACGGCCUUCGGUGUAAACUGCUUUUAUAUGGAAGAUUAUGACGGUACCAUAUGAAUAAGGACCGGCUAACUACGUGCCAGCAGCCGC